ACUUUAUAUAAAUUAUAUUAUAUUUUAUAAUUAUAAGUUUAAUAAGUUAGAGUAUAUUAAUAUUUUAUUGGGGCGAUAAAAAUAUAAUUAAACUGUUUUGGAAUAAUCAAAUAUUGUUGAAUUAAAUGAUCCUUAUUUUAAGAUUAGAAGGAUAAGUU
rnacentral:rRNA from 1 species